CCGGUGGGGAGGGCGCCCCCCUGGACAAAGACUGACGCUCAGGUGCGAAAGCGUGGGGAGCAAACAGGAUUAGAUACCCUGGUAGUCCACGCUGUAAACGAGGUCGAUUUGAAGGUUGUUCCCUGGAGGAGUGGCUUUGGGAGCUAACGCGUAAAAUCGACCGCCUGGGGAGUACGGCCGCAAGGUUAAAACUCAAAUGAAUUGACGGGGGCCCGCACAAGCGGUGGAGCAUGUGGUUUAAUUGGAUGCAACGCGAAGAACCUUACCUAUUCUUGACAUCCAGAGAACUUAGCAGAGAUGCUUUGGUCCCUUCGGGAAUUUUGAGACAGGUGCUGCAUGGCGGUCGUCAGCUCGUGUUGUGAAAUGUUGGGUUAAGUCCCGCAACGAGGGCAACCCUUUUCCUUUGUGGCCAGCGAUUCGGUCGGGAACUCAAAGGAGACUGCCGGUGAUAAACCGGAGGAAGGUGGGGAUGACGUCAAGUCAUCAUGUCCCUUACGAGUAGGGCUACACACGUGCUACAGUGGCGUAUACAAGGGGAAUUGUUCUCGCGUGAGCAAGCGGCACUGGUAGAGUACGUCGUAGUCCGGAUUGGAGUCUGCCCCUCGAGUGGAUGAAGUCGGAAUCGGUAG
rnacentral:rRNA from 1 species